CUUAUUCCAGAUGAGAUCUUAAAGGAAGAACUCGCCCCGCUUUCAAUUACGAUUCCAAAUCUUCUCAACACCAUCGACUUUUAUGAAGAAGGUGUUUACGCAAACAAUUGCAGCCGAGAUUGGUGGUGUCCGUGGCCAAUAGAACGUGUGGAUGUUCCACAACAGUCUAAUCAAGGCGAUUGUGGCAUGUUCGUGUUGAAGUACAUUGAGCUUUUGAGCGCUGAGAUUCCGUUAGCUACUUGCACCUCGCAGAACAUGCCCUUUUUUCGGUUGAAAUUGGCUGCAGAGAUAACACGGGGAGAUGCUUACAUGCCAUGAUAUUGGUUGAACUUGGUUUAGGUACAUGAUGAUUAAAUAGGUUUUGGGAAUGUCCAAUUUCAAACUCAUGUAAAUACACAAUAGAGACCUACGGGUCCUUUUCGAAUUCUACCUCUGCUCCUCUAUUCUUCUUCGUCUUUCUCAAUCUUAGUGUAUUUUUGUACAUAAUUUUAGGUUUAAGUUAUUGGACAAUAACAAUUAGAACCAAAAUAGUGGCAAAUAUUAUAGCGGAUGCAUGCUUUCAUUUUGAUUAGUGUGAUACUACGCUACGUUUAUUCUCAUAUUGUGCUAAAUGUAUAUGGAGUUGGAUGCAGAGCAUAGACAGAAAAAUGAAGAAACUGAAAUGGAGAUGCUGAGGCUUGGUGAGGAGAAAAGUAAAUGGAUCUGUAAAUCUAUUGCACGUAGGCAAUCUAAAUGGAUAGGCAGAUGAGUUUUUGAAGUUAGACACAUGUCAUUCCCAUACAUAGAAUGUGCCUAUGGAGUGUAAAGUAUUUUUGGAUUUAAUGAAACAAACAUCUGUGUAAUAUUA